GGGAGAUGCCAAAGUCCAUAAAAGGAUUAUAAAAAAUCUUAAGACCCGAUGGCAUUCCUGUCGGGAUCAAUUCCGGCGCGAAGAAACAGCCCGUAAAGGCAAAAGUGGCGAUAGCGGUGGAAAGAAAAAGAAGCCCUAUCUAUACACACAACAACUACUAUUUUUGAAGCCGAUAUUUGAGAUGAGACCGACCAUCGACAGCCUCGAGGAUGAGCCUGAAGCAAGCCAACAGUCUGCAGAAAGCACUCUAGUGAUGUCACCACAGGAGCCCUCCUCUCCAGCUCACACUCCACCAAUGGUUAUGACACCACCACCAGAGAUCAGAACACCCAACGUCACACAUCCACAGGCAGACAUAAACACAAGGGGUUCAAAAAGUAAAAGGAAUCCUCCUCGGCCUGUUUCCGGUUCCAGUACUCGAGACCUGAUUGAUUGUCAGGUUCUUGAGUAUUUAUCCCGAAACAAGCCAGAA